rnacentral:pre_miRNA from 1 species
AAUUUCAGCUGAGAAAGUAACGAACAAAAAAGUUGUAGAACUCAUCAAGACAUACAACUUUUAUUUCGAUCAUUUAUUGAUCCGACAAAGUGAUAGUGUUCAUAAAAUUUGCAUAUCUCUCUUAUAGUUUGUAAAAUCAUAUGAGAGGUAUGUAAAUUUUGUGAACAAUAUUACUAUCACUUUGUCGGAUGAAGAAAUAAUCAAAAUAAAAGUUGUAGAUCUUGAUGAGUUAUACAACUUUGUUGUUGAUGACUUUUCAGUUCAAAUC